rnacentral:rRNA from 1 species
GAUGAACGCUAGCGGCAGGCUUAAUACAUGCAAGUCGAGGGGCAGCAUGACUGUAGCAAUACAGUUGAUGGCGACCGGCAAACGGUGCGGAACACGUUCAGAAACUCCCCUCGAGCGGGGAAUAGCCCAGAGAAAAUUGGAUUAAUACCCCCUAGUAUAACGGAGUGGCAACACCCCGGUAUUAAAGAUUUUUUACUUGAAGAAGGCCGUGCGGGUGAUUAGGUAGUUGGUGGGGUAACGGCCCACCAAGCCUGCGAACAGUAACUGGGGUUGGAGAACGACCAGUCACACGGGCACUGAGACACGGGCCCGACUCCUACGGGAGGCAGCAGUAAGGAAUAUUGGUCAAUGGACGAAAGUCUGAACCAGCCAUGCCGCGUGGAGGAUGAAGGUCCUCUGGAUUGUAAACUUCUUUUAUAUGGGACGAAAAAAGGCUUUUCUAAGUCGUCUGACGGUACCAUAUGAAUAAGCACCGGCUAACUCCGUGCCAGCCGCCGCCGUAACAC